GUCUUUUUAGUUUAAUUGGAAAAACAUACAACUGAAGAUUGUAAUUACCUGGUUCGAUCCCUGGAAAAGAAA